rnacentral:rRNA from 1 species
GGGCCCGCACAAGCGGUGGAGCAUGUGGUUUAAUUCGAUGCAACGCGAAAAACCUUACCUACCCUUGACAUCCUUGGAAGCUUCUAGAGAUAGAAGUGUGUCUUCGGAAACCAAGUGACAGGUGCUGCAUGGCUGUCGUCAGCUCGUGUCGUGAGAUGUUAGGUUAAGUCCUGUAACGAGCGCAACCCCUAUCCUUAGUUGCCAGCACGUAAUGGUGGGAACUCUAAGGAAACUGCCGGUGACAAACCGGAGGAAGGUGGGGACGAGGUCAAGUCAUCAUGGCCCUUACGGGUAGGGCUACACACGUGCUACAAUGGACAGUACAAUGGGAAGCAAGACCGCGAGGUGGAGCAAAUCUCAUAAAGCUGUUCUCAGUCCGGAUUGGAGUCUGCAACUCGACUGCAUGAAGCUGGAAUCGCUAGUAA